UUCGUCUCGUGAACCAAAUCAGGCAGGCUGGGCCGGCCGAGCGGAAAUGCUUGGUCGGUUUGUCGGCGAAUUGCAAUAAUCAUAUGGGCGGGGGUGAAUCCUUUGCAGACGACUUGAAUGGGAACGGGGUACUGUAAGCAGUAGAGUAGCCUUGUUGCUACGAUCUGCUGAGGUUAAGCCCUUGUUCUAUAGAUUUGU
rnacentral:ncRNA from 1 species